GUGGGGAAUAUUGCACAAUGGGCGAAAGCCUGAUGCAGCGACGCCGCGUGGGGGAUGACGGUCUUCGGAUUGUAAACCCCUUUCAGUAGGGACGAAGCGCAAGUGACGGUACCUGCAGAAGAAGCACCGGCCAACUACGUGCCAGCAGCCGCGGUAAUACGUAGGGUGCAAGCGUUGUCCGGAAUUACUGGGCGUAAAGAGCUCGUAGGCGGUUUGUCACGUCGUCUGUGAAAUCCUCCAGCUUAACUGGGGGCGUGCAGGCGAUACGGGCAGACUUGAGUACUACAGGGGAGACUGGAAUUCCUGGUGUAGCGGUGAAAUGCGCAGAUAUCAGGAGGAACACCGGUGGCGAAGGCGGGUCUCUGGGUAGUAACUGACGCUGAGGAGCGAAAGCAUGGGUAGCGAACAGGAUUAGAAACCCUUGUAGUCC
rnacentral:rRNA from 1 species